rnacentral:rRNA from 1 species
CGGGUGAGUAAUGUAUAGGAACUUGCCUAGUAGUGGUGGACAACGUGUGGAAACGCACGCUAAUACCGCAUACGCUCUACGGAGGAAAGCGGGGGAUCUUCGGACCUCGUGCUACUAGAUGGGCCUAUAUUGGAUUAGCUAGUUGGUAGGGUAAAGGCCUACCAAGGCGACGAUCCAUAGCUGGUUUGAGAGAAUGAUCAGCCACACUGGGACUGAGACACGGCCCAG